rnacentral:rRNA from 1 species
AAUAGAUACCCCGGUAGUCCACGCCGUAAACGAUGGAUACUAGCUGUUUGAGCGCAAGUUUGAGUGGCUAAGCGAAAGCGAUAAGUAUCCCACCUGGGGAGUACGGGCGCAAGCCUGAAACUCAAAGGAAUUGACGGGGGCCCGCACAAGCGGUGGAGCAUGUGGUUUAAUUCGAUGAUACGCGAGGAACCUUACCAGGGCUUAAAUGUAGAUUGACGUAUUUGGAAACAGAUAUUUCUUCGGACAAUUUACAAGGUGCUGCAUGGUUGUCGUCAGCUCGUGCCGUGAGGUGUCAGGUUAAGUCCUAUAACGAGCGCAACCCCUGUUGUUAGUUGCCAGCGAGUAAUGUCGGGAACUCUAGCAAGACUGCCAGUGUAAACUGUGAGGAAGGUGGGGAUGACGUCAAAUCAUCACGGCCCUUACGUCCUGGGCCACACACGUGCUACAAUGGCCGGUACAGAGAGCAGCCACUUAGCGAUAAGGAGCGAAUCUAUAAAGCCGGUCACAGUUCGGAUCGGAGU